rnacentral:tRNA from 1 species
GCUCGGGGGACGAAACUGGCUGACGCGCAGGGCUUAAAAUCCUGUGGAGGGUCACCUUCCGUGUGGGUUCGACUCCCACCCCGGGUA